GUUACUCUGCUAUUUCUGAUUCAAUUGCUUAAUGCUUUUUGGUUGGCUAUAAAUACAAUGGGGGAGUUGUAUGAGUUCACCAGCUUGGUUCUGCGUGCAAUUCUACUGGUUCAAAUGUGUACACAAGAAAGAACUUCAAUGCCUAAAGAACAUUGAAAUAUCAGCCAGAAGAAGAUGUGGCUGAUGUUAUGCCUGCAACCCUUGCUCAGGUAUGUGCCUAAAGAACAUUUUAAUAUCAGCUAAGUAUUUGUUUUAAUUGAAUACAUAACUUCAACCAGAUAUAAUUUUGAAGAAAGUGGUAGUGGUCAACACAAAAGCCUUUGCUUAUAAAACUUGUUGAAAUUCAAUGUUCUUGGAAACACAGUGGAAUGUGUGGCAAAUUUUCUAUAUCAUGAACUCUGCUGUUUGAGCGAUGUACCGAUUGAAAUCCUUGCCGGAUGGUGUUCAAAACCUCACUUCACUUGAGCUUUUAAGAGAGGUGUGGGGAGGGAACAGGGGAGGAUUGUGAAAAGAUAGCGCACAUUCCCAAAGUAGAAGUUAUUGUAUAUGAAAGAUAGUGUUUAUUCUUAUCUUAGCUGCUCCCAAUUCGACGUCUUUGAUCUUCCCUUUGGUGACUGGAUUCCCUGGCAAGCUAGCAAGAGCAUCGUUGAAGAUAGUUGACCAGCUCCCAAUAGAGUGGAAGAACUAUCUCCUGCAUCAGUACUCAAAAGAACCCUUCAUAUGGGGAGGCAGCCAACCAAGGGAGAGAAGCUUUAUGCAUAAAAGCAAACUGUGAAAUUGAGCUUGCUCUCAAUGAAUGUGUGACGAUUCUCAAUCAUAUGAGAAGACUAAAAAGAUAUAGUGAGAGAGCUGCUUCUUUCUACUUCUCAUGGUUUUUCCAGUACUGUCAAAUUCAGUGCUUCAAGAAGAAUUCCUUCAUGGAAUUGCAUUGUGGGAGAGAAUUUCAAAGGUCAAAUUCACUCUGUCUAGCAUACUGGUAACUGAAGGUGAUCAUUUGCAGCUUGAAAGGAUCCAUAAUGGAUUGUGUAUAAUGUUGUUAAGAGAGAAGGCUUAAGACCUUCAAAUAGGAGUCAUGAUUUUGAACUUACAGCAAUGAAGCUGCUGAGCGUGUCCAAAUUGAUCUCCAAAGAAAGAGAUUGAUGCUGCUAGCUCAACUUCUGAAUAUGAAAAUGAUGAGUCGACACCAGCUAGGUUCCUCUGACACAGAUGAUAGUUAGUUCAAAAGAUAAAUUCUUUUUCAUGCUUUUUAUUUAAUAUUUUGGUUGUAUUGCUUUCUCCAUUGUAAAUAGUAAGAAAUCUGGUCUUGGAAGGUCUCUAUUCAUGAUUUGACUGGCAUGAUUCACCAUUUGGUUCCUCACUAAAUGUAAUUAGUGGGUGUUUGGAAAUACAAUAUAUUUUUCACAUUGGAAAAA